rnacentral:rRNA from 1 species
CUCUUAGACGUUCUGGGCCGCACGCGCGCUACACUGACCAGUGCAACAAGCAUCCGUCCUUGGCCGACAGGCCCGGGCAAUCUUUGAACGCUGGUCGUGAUGGGGAUAGACUUUUGCAAUUUUUGGUCUUCAACGAGGAAUUCCUAGUAAACGCAAGUCAUCAACUUGCAUUGAUUACGUCCCUGCCCUUUGUACACACCGCCCGUCGCACCUACCGAUUGAAUGGUCCGGUGAAGCCUCCGGAUUGGCGCGCACCUCGGUGCCGCCGAGAAGUUGGCUAAACCUUACCAUUUAGAGGAAGGUGAAGUCGUAACA